AAAGGAAUUGACGGGGGCCCGCACAAGCAGUGGAGUAUGUGGUUUAAUUCGAAGCAACGCGAAGAACCUUACCAGGUCUUGACAUCAAGUGACGAACGUAGAGAUACGUUUUCCCUUCGGGGCACGAAGACAGGUGGUGCAUGGUUGUCGUCAGCUCGUGUCGUGAGAUGUUGGGUUAAGUCCCGCAACGAGCGCAACCCUUAUCAUUAGUUGCUACGCAAGAGCACUCUAGUGAGACUGCCGUUGACAAAACGGAGGAAGGUGGGGAUGACGUCAAAUCAUCAUGCCCCUUAUGACCUGGGCCACACACGUACUACAAUGGCGAUGACAGAGGGAAGCAAAACCGCGAGGUAGAGCAAACCCCUAAACAUCGUCUCAGUUCGGAUUGCAGGCUGAAACUCGCCUGUAUGAAGUCGGAAUUGCUAGUAAUCGCGGAUCAGCAUGCCGCGGUGAAUACGUUCCCGGGCCUUGUACACACCGCCCGU
rnacentral:rRNA from 1 species